AAAACCUUUAUUAUUUGCUGCACCCCACAACUGCCUCACAAAGCAUCCCGGAGUCCAGUGAGCAGACAGCAGAGGAGACUGUCAGCAGACCAUCUUGAAGGGGAUGCUUGGAGCUGCCAAAUGUGUGAUUCAAAGAUUAAUUCCAUGUGUUUGGAGAAGCAGCCCUAGCCUCAAAACAAACGUUGGCCACCUUCCAGCCAAGGUAGCAUGGAGUGAAGGCCCACGGAGGGACAGCUGGGCUUUUCUGAAUUACUUUGGCACACCUACUGUACCUCGGCCUGCCAUGUUUCAUCCCCACAGCUGUCCUCAGUGGUGUGCAUGGUCACUGCUCCCUUCACCGCUGAAAAGACGGGCACAGGACAGUCAGGGGACAUGUCCAAGGCCCCACAUCAGGAAGGGCUGGAGCCAGAAUGGGGUCUUAGACACUGAAUAUACAAAGAGACAAUGGUGCGACCAUCUGUACAAAUGGAACUGUGGCCCACGACCUGCAGCAGCCAGGCUGGACGCUGGCCUGCCCUCGGUUGUACUCACAUCAUUGGUCUUAUGGGGAAAUGUUAAGACCUCCCACUUGUAAGGUUUUAUAGCCCUCUAUGGAAUGUUGAAGAAAGAGUAAAAUGCAUCCAAAAAAAAAAAAAACUAAACUGGAUAAAUUCUGAGGCCUCUUCAGGUCUUAAGAUGGCUGUUUUCUAGGUCCUCUUGUUGCAGCAGUGAAAUCCACAGACAUGGACAAGUGAGUCAAUUAUGUGCCUUUCAGAGAAAACUUCUGACUUAGGAAUUCCAGCUAUUUGGCCCAACCCAUAUUAGACUGUGUUAUAAAGAAUGGGUAAAUUACAUCACGAAGGGAAGAGCAGAGGAAACACAACAUUCCUUCAAGACCCAUCAGCUCUGAUGUUAGCAGAACACCCCUAAAGAGGAAAACAAGAAAUUUUGAAUUUGAACUUGGUACUUCCCAGCAGCCCCGGGAGUGGGGUCAGAAGCCCUGCUGGGGGGCAAAGAACUCUGAGGAUCAAAGAUGUUGAGCAUCACCUUAGAGACCAAAGAUCAGAACAGUGGAGGUGGCCUUUGAAGCCCAAUCUAUGCUUUCACCAGAGAGUGAGAACGGCCUCUAUUUCCAGGAAGCUCACUGCAACAACAAUCACGAUCCACUGAGCCUGACAAGGUGAGAAUUUACUUUCAGCACCUGCAAUACUUUCCUAUUAAAGUUACAUAUGAAACCCUGCCGUCUUGUACCAACUAAUGUUCACACCAGCGUUCCUAUUUUCAAGAUAAAUUGCAAAAUAAAAACUCUUGUUUUUGUUAGCAAAAGAAAACUUCUUUAGGAGGACAAAAGGGAGAUGAAGAAACAGAAAACACAGCUCUCCAUCUAAAUUACAGAAUGCAGAAAAUAUCCUGAAGUGAAUAACACAGGAAUCACCCUUUUUCCUCCUGAGAUAACAGGUUACUUAUAAGAAACAAACUUGAAAUCUCUGCAUCUGGACCAGCUUCCAGAGGCUUUUGUCCUGACCAGCUGGAUUUGGAGAAGGAAAGGAAACCAGGGAAGAAGGGGCUGAAAUAAUUGGUUUCCACCGUGACCUUUGAACCCUCGGGUGAGUUGUCAACUUCAUUGAGGAUGAGUGUCCUCGAUAUCAAACGAGAUCACUUUACUUGCAAGCUUGUUGUGAGGACUGAAUGAAACCUUUUCUUUUUUCUUUCUUGGAGUUUUGGAGCAACGUCCCUGAGCCAAGCCCCACACCAGCUUGAGCCCUAUCAUCGGUAAAUAUACGGUGCUUUCUCCCCUCCCCUCUGCACUCCAGCUUACUCUGCAGUCCGGGGGUGGCACCAGGAUCCCCUUUAAGACUUUGCCACUUGGGCCAGCUGUGCCUCUGAGAAAUUCCGUUUCUAUUGCAGGCCACAAGGACGAGCUGAGAAAUGGCUUCCAGUCACCAUCUAGAUUAGAAAGCCUAUAGUUCAAAUAUAGAGAUAUCAGUUAUGCCUGUGAAAAGACAUUAAAUCGCACAGGGCUGUAAUUCCUAGACUCUACAAAUUUCAUCUUGCACUAAAUUCUAUUAUUUCAUUUAUAAUUCAGAUUCUUCAAAUCUAAGAGUGCCUAGCUUAAAAUUAUAAUACCUACAACUAUUCCAAAACUGGACUCUUUAAUUGCCUUACUGGAACCAGUAGCUGAUUCAAAGCAAAACAAAACAAAAUUCCUCCUUUCUCUAAUUUAGUGAAUCAAUGAUCUAACUGAAUUCAUUUUUGGACUGAGUUUGCAGCACUUGCAGCCCUGAGGGACACAUUCCCCCACCACACUGAGCUUGCACUCCCAUCAACUCAAGUGAACAUUUUGCUUAUUCAGAUUGGGGGGGUGAAGGAAGUCACAAAAGGGUUAACAUGUGCGGCAUUUCAUUGUAAUAUGUACUCACUACUAACUAAAUUAAAAGAGAUGUGAGUUAUUAAAAACUCCAUCUUAAGAAAGAUAAGUAACAGAAAUCAGAGUUCAGACCCGUUGUUACUGAGUUUCCAACCAACACCUGUGAGUUAAACCUAUGGCCACCCUGAAAACGGUUCAUAUUUUCAAAAGCAAUCCUUCAUCGAAGAUGAAAUGCACUAAAGAUUCAUAUUACAUAUCAUGCUGCAAUAAGAAAAGCAAAUAAGGUCUUUCCAUAUUCAAUAAUAAAGUUUAAAGGAAAGGAAUAUUUGUUUAGCCAGUUAGCCAGAAAUUAGGUGUAUCAGAAUACAUCAUUCUCUGAGCAUUUUAGAAAAUCAGGCUAUUUUUACAUUGUGUUUUUCUUUGUAAGUCCUUUAAAAAUAUAGAGAAUAUUCUUGAAAUUAUAGUGUUUGUCUUCUGGAACAAAAAAUACUAAUCAAGGAAAUCUGCAAAUUUAAUUGUUCAUUGAGCUUCCACAGCAAACACUGUGUGAGGAGGCUGAAGCUUAGAAGUCCAAAAACUAAAAGAUUAUUAUUAUUUCGAUAAUAGUAUCUUAUGUCUGCAUAACAUCUGAACUCAGUUCUUUGCAGAGGUUCUCUCCUUCCUCAAGCAACCUCUGAGGUAGGGAGGGGCGACAAUAUUGGCUCCAUUUUACAGUUAAGAAAACAGAGGCUCACGGAGUCAUAAGUAAGGCUGGGCGGGAACGUCCGUCCUGUUCUCUGGGUCUGAAGAGCACAGUCAUGAAGGAUGGAAGUCAUUUCACAUUUUAAAACGAAACAGAUAACUUGUGCUAAAUGCGUGUCCCGGCCCUGCCCUGAGAGACAAGGAAGUCGAAGUGGGUGAGGGCGCAGGAGGCCGGAUUUCCUGUGAUGCUGGACACGUGGCAGGAAGCGGGGAGAGCUGACACCGGAAGCCCUGGAAGGUUGCCUGCUCUGCAGCAGCUGGAGGGAGCAAGAGAGCCCUGUGGCUGGCAUGGUCAGAAGAAAUCUAAGCGGACUAAGAGCCAUAAUCUGCCCUCGAACUCAGGACACCUUGGCAAAGAACUGAACAAAUGACCUCUCAGCAGAUCUUAUGCACAAAAUCAUCAAGUGGAAAUAUGAAAAGGAGCAUAAAAUAUACCCACUCACAGGGAUUUUAAAGAUAUGCCUACCAACAAGAGCAAACAUUUUAUGUGAAACCCAAGAUGAUCUGCAGAGGGAAACGUGCUGGGCUGGGAAGGAAAGUGGUUAGAGGCUGCAGCCCAGCUUUGAGGCUAUGAUGGUCCAGUUGCUGUCAGGCUCUGCAUCUCACUUUCCUGUUCUGUAAAAUCUGACCAGAUGAUCUGAAAGCUCCCUUCCAGCUCUAAGCCGGCAAUGCUUACAUAGAGAAUAAAAUGAACGCCCCACCCCACCGGGGUUACUGCUGAUCCACACAGAUGCACACUCCCACUUCCCUGCAUCUUCACGUUCACUACAUUCAUCUCCAUCUGAUUAUCAAGUUGCAAACUGGACCAGCGCCAAACAGCAACUUCUGUCAUAAAAUCUCUCUCAAUCUAAUUCCCACAUGGGAGAAAGGCACCAGGAAGAUGGAGCGGCCCCAUCUUCCUCCCCAAAUGAAACACUACUAAGACAGUCCAACCAGCCUGUGAUCCCGGCAACAGCUCCCAGCUCCAGAUGUGGCAGCCUGAUGUUGAUGAGGUCAAGUCACAGAUCCAAGACUCACCAAAAAAAUUCACCACACACAGAAAAAGGAAAAACAACUUCUUUCCUUAUCCAGAAUGUGUCCAUUAACCUGGAGGCACGUCCAAGAGCCUUGAAGCAGUAACCAACGGCAUUAGCAUGGAGUGCAGGUGUGUCAGCCCAUUCCACGCCACUGCCAGCAGAGCCACCUGAGCGUCCCUAGAAGGAAGACCCCUUGACCUUCCCAUUCUUACCAUGAGGCACGGUUCCUGUUUUGGGGGAAAAUCAUCCUAAGGAAGGAUAUUGCGUUGCUAUUGACAAAGGAAAAAUACGCUUGUGCAUUUCUCCCGGUAAGCUAAUUUGCAAAAGGCCUAAUCACACUAAGCAAAUAUUUUCCAGCCCCAAGAGAGGAGGGAAAGAGGAUGAGGACGUGCUCGCCCCCUGAGGACAUGACCCUUCCUCUCUAUCCCUGGGAGAACUCAGGGCCAGGGUCAUACCUUGUUCCAGGGUACCUGGGAAGGAGGGUCUUUGGCUGGUCCCUGGGUUCAGGGUGAAACUCUGGAUGGUCCCACAAUGUAGGAAAGGGAAAGUGAAUGUCAGGGAAGUCCAACCGUGUCUGCUACACACCCAUGUGGAUGCGAGCCCCCUCCCAUCACUGUGACUCCAAAGGCUGGAAUCUCUCUCAUCCUCUUGUCAGCACCCCAGACUGAAUCAACAUGAGAACAUCGCUGAAUGGAGUUAGAAUCAUAAAUACCAUUUCUUUAGCCUCUGAGACAUCAUGAUUAUGAUAUUGUAAUGGCCACGCAGUCUGAACAUUCGCCCAUGUCAGACUGGGGCUCGCUAACCACCUGAAGGUGCACACCAUGAGCCUCCUUUACAGUCAGCAUCGGAUGAAGCUGCUGGGCAGAUCCAGGCCCCCCACAGCCAGGCCCCUGCAGGGCAUCCCGCUGCCUGGCUACCUGGCUACCUGUGCAGGACCACAGCACUGUCUCACCUGUAGCCACGCAAAGCGAAAACCUCUGCAAUUGCUUCUGGAAGGGCCGCUGGCAGAGGCGCUUUUCCAUGGUGGAGGAAGCCUCCCUUAGCUGAGCAACAGCUGCUGAACCCCAUGGUGGUCCUGCCUCCAGACAUUCCAGUCACCUCCACAUGGCUCUGCAGCAGAGCCCCGCAUUUAUGGAUUGCAGCCGUGGCCUUUAUGGGUGGACUAUGAGUGAGUGAGGGGGAAAAACUGGAAGAAGGAAGCGUGCGCAUGUGACUUCAGUGACGCCUGUGCUCCGACCACAUAGUUUAAGUGUCAGCCUCCAUCUUGUGCUUAUUUUUAAACCAUUGCUAUUAACUUGACCAAUGGUCAUAAUGCAGUUCCCCCCUUACCAUCACAGUAUUACCAGGAAAUUCGUGUUCAAACUUCAGCAGAACAGAAUACCCGUGAGAAAAAGCACUAACUGGCUGCGUGCGGUGGCUCACGCCUGUAAUCCCAGCACUUUGGGAGGCUGAGGUGGGCGGAUCACCUGGGGUCAGGAGUUCAAGACCACCCUGGCCAACAUGGUGAAACCCCGUCUCUACUAAAACUACAAAAAUUAGCCAGGCAUGGUGGUGCACGCCUGUAAUCCCAGCUACUAGGGAGGCUGAGGCAAGAGAAUCGCUUGAACCUGGGAGGCAGAGGUUGCAGUGAGCUGAAAUUACACCAUUACACUCCAACCUGGGUGACAAGAGCAAGACUCCGAAAAAAAAAAAAAAGGAAAAAAAAA